rnacentral:rRNA from 1 species
AUGGGCUCGACGUUCAGCCACGAGGAUGCUCCUCCGCCUCCUUCCCCAGCUCCCGCCGACGCGCCACCUCUUCCCUACGCCCCGAUGCCUCCCCCGCCGUUGCCGCCCCAGGAGGAGGACAAGGCGGCGGAGGACGACAAGGUGGACUACCUGAAUCUCCGCUGCCCUAUUCCCUACGAAGAAGCCCAGCGCGAGGCCUCGAUGACGCUCAAGCCCGACGUGUUCGAGGGCUUUCGCUUCGAUUUCGUCAAGCCGGUCAGCCAGGUCUUGUUUUUGAGCCACAGUGCGUCAAUGGGAUCCAUGGAGGUCCCUUCACAGGGACCUGAAGUGAUCAAGGUCCCCACCUCCCAGUACGAGUUUGGCGCCAACUAUAUUGAUCCCAAGCUGAUGCUCAUCGGUAGGAUCGCGCCCGACGGAAGGCUGAAUGGACGUGUCAAGUACGAAGUCACAGAAAAUCUUUUCGCACAAAUGAAUGCUCAGUUGACAAACGAGCCUGGUUAUUCCCAAGGCAUGUUUAAUUUGGAUUACAAGGGCAAAGAUUUUAGAACCCAAUGUCAAGUCGGGAAUAAUGGCUUCUAUGGAGGGAACUACAUCCAGAGUGUAACGAAGAACCUCUCCCUGGGAACUGAAGGUUUUUGGCUUCAACAACAAAGGAAAUCAGGAGUUGGCUUUCUUGCUAGAUAUGACACGAAGAACAUGGUUGCAACUGGACAAAUUGCAAGCACUGGACUGGUUUCACUGAGUUACGUUCAGAAAGUGUCUAAUAAGGUUUCCCUUGCUACUGAUUUCAUGUACAAUCAUAUGUCAAAGGAUGUAACAGCAAGUGUGGGUUAUGAUUAUAUCAUGAGACAGAGUCGUUUGAGGGGAAAGGUAGAUACCAAUGGCGCAGUUUCUGCUCUUUUGGAGGAGAAAAUCAACCCAUACGCUACCUUGGUUCUUUCUGCAGAGAUUGAUCACUGGAAGAAGGAUAACAAGUUUGGGUUUGGCGUAAGGGUUGGAGAGUAA